rnacentral:lncRNA from 1 species
AUGAAAAACCAGCAGCUGAAGAGAAACCUAGAGAACUAGUAGUUGAAGAAAAAGCUGAAGAACCAACACCGGAAGAACUAGAAUUUGAAGAGAAACCUGAAGAACCAACUGCUGAAGAAAUACCUGAACAAUUAGUAGUUGAAGAGAAAUCUGAAAAACCAGAGGUUAAAGAGGAGAAGUCUGAAAAGGUAACUCUCUUGGAAAAAGUGAGGAUCAAGCACUAUCACAAAGUUUAUCCAUCCUAUUAGUUCUGUAUGUGCAAAGAUUCGUAUCUACUUAUCAAUUGAAAGAUUAAGUGAAACUUUAAAUUCUUCUUGCAGAAUAUGUCAGUUGUAGAUUUCAAUGAGAAGACUGACAGUGAAAUUCCAUGCAAUACCAACAAUGAUGUUGCCGACUAUGUAUCAGUUGAGGCAAACCUUGAAGAACCGGUAGUUGAAGAAAAACCUGAAGAAACAACGGUUGAGAAGAAACCUGAAGAACCAUCAAUUGAGGAGAAACGUGAAACACCAGCAUUUGAGAAGAAACCUGAAGAACCAAUAAUUGAGGAGAAACCUGAAGAACAAACAAUUGAAGAGGAGAAACAUGAAAGGAUAACUCUCCUGGAAAAGGUGAGGAUCAAGCAUUGUCACAAAGUUUAUCCAUCUUGUUAGUCGUGUAUACGAUACAAUUUACAUAUGCUUACCUACUGAAAGACUAAGUAAGACUUUAAAGUUCUUCUUGCAGAGUAUUCCAGUUGUAGUCCCGAACGACAAAACUGAAAGUAAAACUCCAAGCAUUACAAACAAUAAUGCUGCUCACUUUUCAGAAGUUGAGGAAAACCCUGAAGAACCUGCAGUAAAAGAAAAAACUGAAAAACCAGUUCUUGAAGAGAAACCUGAAGAACCAACAGUUGAAGAGAAAUCUGAAGAACCAGUUGAGGAGAAACCUGAAGAACCAACAGCUGAAGAGAAACCUGAAGAACCAGCAACUAAAGAAAAACAAGUGCUAGUAGGGGAGGAAACAGCUGAAGAACUAGCGCUUGAAGAGAAACCUGAAGAACUAACGAUUGAACAGACAGAUGAAGAACUAGUUGUUGAAGAUAAAACUGAAAAACCACCAAAUAAAGAGGAGAGACCUGAAACGGUAACUCUCCUUUAGCAGUGUCACAGAGUUUAUCCAUCCUAUUAGUUCUAUAUGUGCAACGAAUUCAUAUCUGUUUAUCUAUUGAAAUACUAAGUGAAAAUUCAAAUUUUCUUGCAGAAUUUGCCCAUUGCAGACUCAAAGGACCAGACUGACAAUGCAAUUCCAUGCGAUACCAACAAUGAUAUUGCUGACUAUGCAACAGUUGAGGAAAAACCUGAAGAAACAGUAGUUGAAGAAAAACAUGAAGAACCUGCAAUUGAAAAGAAAUUUGAAGAAUCAACAGUUAUGGAGAAACCUGAAGAACCAGCAGUGGAAGAAAAACCUGAAGAACCAACAGUUAAAGAGGAACCUGAAAAAUCAGUGAUGGAAGAGAAACCUGAAGAACCAAUUGUUGAGGAGAAACUUGAAGAACCAACUGUUGAAGAGAAACCUGAAAAAUCACUGAUUGAAGAAACACCUGAAGAACCAAUAUGGGAAGAAACACCUAAAGAACUAGCAUUUGAAGAGAAACCAGAAGAACCAGCAGUUGAAGAGGAGAAACCUGAAAAGGUAACUCUUUUGGAAGAGGUGAGUAUCAAGCAUUAGCACAUAGUUUAUCCAUCAUGUUAUUUCUGUAUGUGCAUCGAUUCACAUCUGCUUAUCUAUUGAAAGUCUAAAUGAGACUUUAAAUUCUUCUUGCAGAAUAUACCAGCUGUAGAUUUCAACGACAAGACUGACCGUGAAAUUCCAUGCGAUACCAACAAUGAUAUUGCUGACUAUGCAACAGUUGAGGAAAAACCUGAAGAACCGGUAGUUGAAGAAAAACAUGAAGAACCUGCAAUUGAAAAGAAAUUUGAAGAAUCAACGGUUAUGGAGAAACCUGAAAAACCAGUGGUUAAGGUACAACCUGAAGAACCAGCAGUGGAAGAAAAAGUUGAAGAACCAACAGUUAAUGAGGAACCUGAAAAAUCAGCGAUGGAAGAGAACCCUGAAGAAUCAAUUGUUGAGGAGAAACUUGAAGAACCAACUGUUGAAGAGAAACCUGAAAAAUCACUGAUUGAAGAAACACCUGAAGAACCAAUAUGGAAAGAAACACCUAAAGAACUAGCAUUUGAAGAGCAACCAGAAGAACCAGCAGUUGAAGAGGAGAAACCUGAAAAGGUAUCUCUUUUGGAAGAGGUGAGUAUCAAGCAUUAUCACAUAGUUUAUCCAUCCUGUUAUUUCUGUAUGUGCGACGAUUCACAUCUGCUUAUCUAUUGAAAGACUAAAUGAGACUUUAAAUUCUUCUUGCAGAAUAUGCCAGCUGUAGAUUUCAACGACAAGACUGACUGUGAAAUUCCAUGCAAUACCAACAAUGAUGUUGCUGAAUAUGUAGCAAUUGAGGAAAACCUUGAAGAACCAGCAGUUGAAGAAAAACAUGAAGAACCAACAGUUGAGGAGAAACCUGAAGAACUAGCAGUUGAAGAGAAACCCGAAAAACCAACAAUUGAGGAGAAACAUGAAGAACCAAUAGUUGAGAAGAAACCUGAAGAACCAGUAGUUGAGGAGAAACCAGAAGAACCACUAAUUGAAGAGGAGAAAUCUGAAAGGGUAACUUUCCUAGAAAAG